rnacentral:rRNA from 1 species
CCUACGUGUGGCAGCAGUGGGGAAUAUUGCGCAAUGGGCGAAAGCCUGACGCAGCGACGCCGCGUGAGGGAUGAAGGUCUUCGGAUCGUAAACCUCUGUCAGCAGGGAAGAACGGUCACUGUGCUAAUCAGCAGUGAAUUGCCGGUACCUGCAAAGGAAGCACCGGCUAACUCCGUGCCAGCAGCAGCGGUAAUACUGAGGGUGCGAGCGUUAAUCGGAAUUACUGGGCGUAAAGCGCUCGUAGGCGGUAUGUCAAGUCAAGGGUGAAAUCCCCGCGCUCAACGUGUGAACGGCCUUUGAAACUGGCAAACUGUAGUGUGUGAGAGGAUAGUGGAAUUCCAGGUGUAGGAGUGAAAUCCGUAGAUAUCUGGAGGAACAUCAGUGGCGAAGGCGACUAUCUGGCACAUAACUGACGCUGAGGAGCGAAAGCGUGGGUAGCAAACAGGAUUAGAUACCCCAGUAGUC